AACGAACGCUGGCGGCGUGCCUAACACAUGCAAGUCGUGCGAGAAAGUUCCUUCGGGAGCGAGUAAAGCGGCGCACGGGUGAGUAACACGUAGGUAACCUGCCCCCCAGUCUGGAACAACUAGAGGAAACUCUAGCUAAUGCCGGAUGAGACCACGAUCCCUUCGGGGGUUGCGGCCAAAGAUGGCCUCUACUUGUAAGCUAUCGCUGAGGGAUGGGCCUGCGGGCCAUUAGCUUGUUGGUGAGGUAACGGCUCACCAAGGCUGUGAUGGCUAGCUGGUCUGAGAGGAUGACCAGCCACACUGGGACUGAGACACGGCCCAGACUCCUACGGGAGGCAGCAGUGGGAAUAUUGCGCAAUGGGCGAAAGCCUGACGCAGCGACGCCGCGUGGGUGAU
rnacentral:rRNA from 1 species